UUUUCUGUGUCUCUUUCGAGACCGUGAAAAAAAACAACAACCAAAACCUCGGUCGCGAAAAGUUUUUUCCGUUUUUUCCUUCAAAGAUGCAGAAAAACAGCGAUGGGACAUUGUGCGGCCUACGGUUUAAGGAAACACUUCAACAAAAGGAGAAUUGAAGACCCGGCUACCGUCUGGGCCACAAGAAAAAUACGCAUCAAAAAUGAUUUCAAACCACGUCCGUAGCAACAUCUUCCUGUUACACCGACGGACUUGUACCCCGGCAGCAGCAUCACCAGAACACCAGAUAUAAUCCUCGGCAGGAUUAUAUCCAUAAUCCCGAUCCUUGCUUAAGGUGAUUAUAUACAGAAGCCACACC